UACGAAGGGGGCUAGCGUUGUUCGGAAUUACUGGGCGUAAAGCGCACGUAGGCGGAUUGCUAAGUCAGGGGUGAAAUCCUGGAGCUUAACUCCAGAACUGCCUUUGAUACUGGCGAUCUUGAGUCCGGGAGAGGUGAGUGGAACUGCGAGUGUAGAGGUGGAAUUCGUAGAUAUUAGGAAGAACACCAGUGGCGAAGGCGGCUUACUGGUCCGGUUCUGACGCUGAGGCGCGGAAAGCGUGGGGAGCAAACAGGAUUG
rnacentral:rRNA from 1 species